ACAAUGCAUGUGCUUAAUUAUCUACCAUUUACUGAUUAAUAGUAAAAAAAUAAUGAACAUGCACUAAGCAAAGAUUAUGUCAAAUUACAAUUUUACAAGUUGGUAAUGAAUCAUGACAUAACAAGACAUGUUCAAACAUUGGUAGUAGAACAAGACAUUCAAAUAUUCAAUAAAGACGAAUUAAUAAACCAUAUGAGGACAUCUUCUAGAUAUUUCUUAUUAUUUAGUUUUCAUUGUAUGCAUAUAAUACAGCAGCACGUGGAGCUAGGCGUAGGACAGACCUUCUUGACAUUAAAG
rnacentral:lncRNA from 7 species